rnacentral:rRNA from 1 species
GGGCCCGCACAAGCGGUGGAGUAUGUGGUUUAAUUCGAUGCAACGCGAAGAACCUUACCAGGGUUUGACAUCCUGCGAAUCUCUUGGAAACGAGAGAGUGCCUUCGGGAACGCAGUGACAGGUGGUGCAUGGCUGUCGUCAGCUCGUGUUGUGAGAUGUUGGGUUAAGUCCCGCAACGAGCGCAACCCCUAUCCUUAGUUGCCAGCGAUUCGGUCGGGAACUCUAAGGAGACUGCCGGUGAUAAACCGGAGGAAGGUGUGGAUGACGUCAAGUCAUCAUGCCCCUUACAUCCUGGGCUACACACGUACUACAAUGCUACGGACAAAGGGCUGCAAGUUCGCGAGGACAAGCAAAUCCCAUAAACCGUGGCUC